UACGCCCAGGACUGGCGUCGACCGCCGGCGUCCCCGCUAGACCCGCAGAGCUCGCAUACCUGCGGCUAGCAUCAGAUACAGUUUCAGCUGGUCGGCGCAGCUAGCCUUGCCCUGCUGGUGGUUCCUUGUCUUCACUCCAAAAAUAUCUACAAUGUAUACCAAAACCUAACAUGCUUGAAGAUGUAGAAGAUCCUCGCUAUCCAUCCACCUUCGCAGCUUCUUUUGCCUCACAAUUACCUCUGUCACAAGCCCUAUCAAACACCGUGCCUGAUUAUGGUGCAGCUGACAGCACUGGGGACACUUUGCCUCAAUUGAAGCUGUUAUUCAACCCUUAGACACAACCACUUGCCUGUUAAUUACCUGCUAUGAAAGAAAUUACAUAUUGUGAAACCAAACAUGCUUGAAGAUGUAGGAGAUCCUUGCUAUCCAUCCACCUUCGCAGCUUCUUUUGCCUCACAAUUACCUCUGUAACAAGUCCUAUUAAACACCGUGCCUGAUUAUGGUGCAGCUGACAGCACUGGGGACACUUUGCCUCAAUUGAAGCUGUUAUUCAACCCUUUGACACAACCACUUGCCUGCUAAUUACCUGCUAUGAAAGAAAUUACAUAUUGGGAGCUACUAGCAAAGGAACAACUUCAACACUGCAUCAAAUGGCUCGACCAAAGUUAUCAGUGGAGCAAUAUUCACCUGGUUUCCCCAAAACAAAACAGCACAUCCCAAAGAAUGGUGAACUCCAGUUGAAAAGACAUGCGAUUUUGAAAUAACCUUGGUCAUUUCAGACAUCUUGCGGGAGAAUUAAAAGGGGCAAGAACAGUCAGUGAUUUAGAUACAUUUUACCAUCAGGAGCAUUCACUGCAUUGCACAGUAUGUAACUGAAUAGUUGGAGAGAAACUGGACUCUGUGUAACUAUACUAGACAUGACAAGUACAGAAGUACUAGCUAGUAAUGGACAAGGAAUUUUACUCACGUGAGCAGUUCAAAACCAAAUCCAAGUAAGUUUUCCUCAAGUGUAUCCAACCAGCCCUUCAAAUGCUGCACCUAGACCACAAGGCCAUCCAAAACUGCACCACUCCGACAAUUCUGGGAGUUACAGUCAGAUCUCAAAUGGAAUUUCCAAGUGUUUGAUAUGAUAUCAAGUGCCGGCAAGCGACUAUACAUUUACGACAUCUCAGAGUAUCAUGUGAAGAUCUAGCAGACAUCUUCUCGACAUAAUUAUAUCCGAUCUUCGCUAGAAUACGCUUCUCCAGUUUGGUCCACAUCAAUUUCCCGAACAGUUAUCUUGCAGUCUGAAGAAAGUGCAGAAACGUGUCUGCUGUAUUAUCCUUGGAUAAGAACAGUUGUAUGAAACCACUCGUUUCUCUCCAGAGUCUAACUUCUUGCCGUCUUGCCCUUCUUGAAUCCUUUUCUCUCAAACUGUUUAAGUCAUCACGAGAUCGAAUUAUGUUCUAUCGCCAACUCGUCGCCAAACCUCUUGCCAUGAACUAUGAAACUCUCUACACAUAACUAUACCCUAUUGUAGAACUGAGAGACACCGCACUUCAAUUAUUCCCUAUAUCGUAAAACUCCUUAACAACCAACUGUGAUUUUAAUUAUCUUUGUCAUGUUUGUAUUUAUUUAUUUUUGCUUACCAUAUUAUUGUUUUUCAUUCUUCUCUUUUCCAUUCUUCAUUAUUUUAUCCUCCCCUCUCAUGUACUUUUUCUCCUUCUCUCUAAAUCAGCAAUUAAAGUACUUACAUGCAUUAUGAUUAUUAUUACAAUUUUGAUUAAUUACAAAAGAGUCAUCUCAGAAUGAAGUAUCUUUUUAAUCAAUCUUUUUAUUCAUUAUGUUUAGCUUGUAUUUAGGUUUUUCACACCAAUUAACCAAUGUAUCGGUUAUUACAGAAUUUUGAAAUCACAAUUAUAGGCAUGUAUUUUCUGAGGAGA